rnacentral:rRNA from 1 species
GAUGAACGCUAGCGGCAGGCUUAAUACAUGCAAGUCGAGGGGCAGCACGUUUCGCAUCAAUUCGGGAUGUUGGCGACCGGCAAACGGGUGAGGAUCGCGUACCCAAUCUUCCCAGAUCAGGUGGAUACCCCGGGGCAACCCGGACUAAUACCCCUUAUUUUACUUUGAAGGCAUCUUUGAGGUAAUAAAACUCCGUUUCCUUUUGAUGAGUGUGCGUCCCAUUAUGUAGUUGGCAGGGUAACGGCCUACCAAGCCUUCGAUGCGUAACUGGUGGGAGAGCACGACCAGUCACACGUGAACUGAGACACGGACCCGACUCGGACGGGAGGCAGCAGUAAGGAAUACUAGGGAAUGAACGCAAGUCGGAAACAGCCACGCCGCGUGAAGGAGGAAGGGCAUCUGGAUAGUAAACUUAUUUGAUAGGGGGCGAAAAAAGGGUAUUUUGAAUCACUUGACGGUACCUUAUGAAUAAGCAACGGCUAACUACGUG